rfam:Drosophila persimilis strain MSH-3 cont1.009434, whole genome shotgun sequence.
UUCCAGCUAUGGCGACAUGGUGCCGGAGACAAUAGCUGGCAAAAUAGUGGGCGGCGUCUGCUCACUCAGCGGUGUGCUGGUCAUCGCCUUACCUGUACCUGUUAUCGUAUCGAAC